AGGCCUCCCAGGGCCUCCCGGUACCGCCUGUCCCUUCCCAAACGGCCCCCCCAGGUCCCACAGCUUGCUCUGGGGGUACCCGCGAGGCCUCCCAGCCCCUUCCUGUGCGCCCCGUGGCGGACUGCAGGGCUCUCAGUGCCCUACAGGUGCUGCAGAGUCCUCCGCAGACCUCACAGUUCUCUCCACUGAGCUCCAGCACCCCCUAAAAGCUUCACCAGGCACUCAGCGCACACUCGGGGACCCACAGUGCAGAAAGAGGCUUCCCACCGUGAGCGAGUGCUUCCUGCAGGCCUCGCAGGACACUCAGGUGAAGAGGUUCCUGAAGCCCCAUCCUGUGUAGCCUGAGUGUGCCAUGUUGAGGAUGAAGCGUGCUUUCCAGCAGUCCCCAAAGCCCAGCUCGAGCUGAAAUGCUUUGUCUGUGUUUGAGUUGGGGUUGUGCCUUGGUAUAUCAAGCCAUUUGCAUAACUCUCCGGAGGAUUCACAAAGAGCUUCAGUAUGCACCGCAAGGGGCUUGACCGCAUAGGCGCAGUAUUACCGAGAGACUGAGCAGGGUCACCUUUUUCAGCUGUAAAGGAUAAGUCUGUGAUCACCCCUGUUGGGGCUGCUGUGCAUUCAUGGCCUGUUGGCAUUUGUGGACCUGAGGGUUUUUUUGUUUGUUUGUUUUUUUCUGGCUCUGGUCUCUGUGCUUUGGUCCUCUGCAAGGAGCCAUACUGUUUGCGUGUUCGUCACGGACGUGACCGUCUCUUUUUGUUUCUUGUAGCCCAGGUCAUAGGCACGGGCUAAGCUGGGAAUUUGAACGAGGCACAAGGACGUCAGCAGUUCCAGUUCCUGAAAUGCUGGAGAUGCUCCAAGUGCAAGAGGAGCAGGGAGCGUGAUGCAUCUCUUUGGGACGUUAGCCACGUGACCUUGGCUCGGCAUGGUGAAUGGAAGCGCUAAACCUCGAUCAGGAAGGUGAAGAGGAGCCUUGUGCCUGAAGCAAUGUCCUGGCUAGCCUUUGUGUUCCUUGUUGAGGAUGGAACCUGCCUCCCAGCGUUUCCAA